GAUGAACGCUGGCGGCAUGCUUAACACAUGCAAGUCUAACGGAAAGGCGUUCUUGUUGUGGCUUGCCCGAGUGGCGAACUGGUGAGUAAGACAGGAAUAACCUGCCCAGGAAUUUGGGAUAACUGGAAGAAACUGAUGCUACUACCGAAUAUCAGCCGCUGCUGCGUGGUGGCUGUUGAAAAGUGUCGGCGGUUGGGGAUGGACUCUCGGCUUAUCAGCUUGUUGGUGGGGUGGUGGCUUACCACGGCUUUGAGGGGUAGCCGGCCUGAGAGGGUGACCGGCCACAUUGGGGCUGAGAGACGGCCCAGACUCCUCCGGGAGGCAGCAGUGGGGAAUAUUGUACAAUGGGCGGACGACUGAUGCAGCAACGCCGCGUGCGGGAUGACGGCCUUCGGGUUGUGAACCGCUUUUGCCUGUGACGAAGAGAGAGUGACGGUAAUGGGUAAAGAAGCACCGGCUAACUACGUG
rnacentral:rRNA from 1 species